GCAAGGGCUGGCUCAACCCGC
rnacentral:siRNA from 1 species